AGAGUUUGAUCCUGGCUCAGAUUGAACGCUGGCGGCAGGCCUAACACAUGCAAGUCGAACGGUAACAGGAAGAAGCUUGCUUCUUUGCUGACGAGUGGCGGACGGGUGAGUAAUGUCUGGGAAACUGCCUGAUGGAGGGGGAUAACUACUGGAAACGGUAGCUAAUACCGCAUAACGUCGCAAGACCAAAGAGGGGGACCUUCGGGCCUCUUGCCAUCGGAUGUGUCCAGAUGGGAUUAGCUAGUAGGUGGGGUAACGGCUCACCUAGGCGACGAUCCCUAGCUGGUCUGAGAGGAUGACCAGCCACACUGGAACUGAGACACGGUCCAGACUCCUACGGGAGGCAGCAGAAGGGCGAAUU
rnacentral:rRNA from 1 species